AACGAACGCUGGCGGCAGGCCUAACACAUGCAAGUCGAGCGCCCCCGCAAGGGGGAGCGGCGGACGGGUGAGUAACGCGUGGGAAUUUUCCUCAAGGUACGGAACAACUCAGGGAAACUUGGGCUAAUACCGUAUGAUGUCUAGCGACCAAAGAUUUAUCGCCUUGGGAUAAGCCCGCGUCAGAUUAGGUAGUUGGUGGGGUAACGGCCUACCAAGCCUGCGAUCUGUAGCUGGUCUGAGAGGACGAUCAGCCACACUGGGACUGAGACACGGCCCAGACUCCUACGGGAGGCAGCAGUGGGGAAUCUUGCGCAAUGGGCGAAAGCCUGACGCAGCCAUGCCGCGUGAAUGAUGAAGGUCUUAGGAUUGUAAAGUUCUUUCGCCCGUGACGAUGAUGACGGUAACGGGAGAAGAAGCCCCGGCUAACUUCGUGCCAGCAGCCGCGGUAAUACGAAGGGGGCUAGCGUUGUUCGGAAUUACUGGGCGUAAAGCGCGCGUAGGCGGUUUUGCAAGCCAGAGGUGAAAUGCCUGAGCUCAACUUAGGAAUUGCCUUUGGGACUGCGAGGCUUUGAGGACUGGAGAGGUGAGUGGAAUUCCCAGUGUAGAGGUGAAAUUCGUAGAUAUUGGGAAGAACACCAGUGG
rnacentral:rRNA from 1 species